rnacentral:rRNA from 1 species
UACAGAGGUCUCAAGCGUUGUUCGGAUUCAUUGGGCGUAAAGGGUGCGUCGGCGGCGCGGUAAGUCGGGUGUGAAAUCUCGGGGCUUAACUCCGAAACUGCAUUCGAUACUGCUGUGCUUGAGGACUGGAGAGGAGACUGGAAUUUACGGUGUAGCGGUGAAAUGCGUAGAUAUCGUAAGGAAGACCAGUGGCGAAGGCGGGUCUCUGGACAGUUCCUGACGCUGAGGCACGAAGGCCAGGGGAGCAAACGGG